CAGUGAUUCCAAAAUGCCGGACAUGCAGGCUGGCUGGGAGCAGAUGUGCUCUAAUGUCAUGGCCGGCCUGUCCGGGCUCAAUAUGGUCUAUGAGUCUG
rfam:Roseobacter sp. MedPE-SWchi Roseobacter-sp-MedPE-SWchi-C11, whole genome shotgun sequence.